CGCUUGCUUGAGCUCAGCCAUCUCUUUCUGGACCUUCUCAAAACGCUCUUGGAUGUCAAUCUGUACCACCUCCUUGAAAGAGUUGAAAGCGGAGGUGAACAAACCUUCAAUGAAAGUCUUCAUUCCACUGGAGAUACCACUGUUAUGUUCAGCCGCCCGUUGACAAAGCAAUUCUUUCUUUCGAGCCUCCGCACCAGGAUCAUUUAGCUUACGCUUGCCCCUUCUUGCAACAACAGCCGGUUCCUCUAC
rnacentral:lncRNA from 1 species